UCCCCGGGGGUGUCUAAUAUGCGCCCAAUUCCCAAUUUGCACACCCGUCCAUGGGGACAUAUAAGCGCGUGAAAAGACCCCCACGGGGUUCACCUCAGUAACGGCGAGUGAAGCGGUACCAGCUCAAAUUUGAAAUCUGGUCCCCUCUGGGGGCCCGAGUUGUAAUUUGAAGAGGAUGCUUUUGGCGAGGCGCCUUCCGAGUGCCCUGGAACGGGACGCCACAGAGGGUGAGAGCCCCGUAUGGUAGGACGCCGAGCCUCUGUAAAGCUCCUUCGACGAGUCGAGUAGUUUGGGAAUGCUGCUCAAAAUGGGAGGUAAACCCCUUCUAAAGCUAAAUAUUGGCCAGAGACCGAUAGCGCGCAAGUAGAGUGAUCGAAAGAUGAAAAGCACUUUGAAAAGAGAGCUAAACAGCACGUGAAAUUGUUGAAAGGGAAGCGCUUGCGACCAGGCUUGCGCCCGUCGGAUCAACCGUCCCUCGUGGGCGGCGCACUCCGGCGGGCUCAGGCCAGCAUCAGUUUUCCUGGGGGGAGAAAGGCGGUGGGAAUGUAGCUCUUCGGAGUGUUAUAGCCCGCCGCGUAAUACCCCCGGGGGGACUGAGGACCGCGCGAAAGCAAGGAUGCUGGCGUAAUGGUCGUCAGCGACCCGUCUUGAAACACGGACCAAGGAGUCGUCCUAAUAUGCGAGUGUACGGGUGUAAAACCCCUGCGCGUAAUGAAAGUGAACGGAGGUGAGAGCUUCGGCGCAUCAUCGACCGAUCCUGAUGUUCUCGGAUGGAUUUGA
rnacentral:rRNA from 1 species